AAUCAUCAACACCCCAAAACAAGCUAGAACCUUUUUCCUUGUGCAUAACCAAAUGGGACUGCUUCCCAAAGGCAGCUGGGGGACAGCUCUGCAAACCAUUUCAGUGUGCACUGCUCAGAUGUCGGGAGACUCAGCUCAGCCUGCAAAUCACUGGGCUUUGAUUCACGAGAACUUGGGCUAUUCAUCAGCCCUCUGGGCAGCAGCAUGUGAUGAACAACUGCAUGGCACCAGUGUUAUAUUGUUCUCCAGACUUCAUGUGUGAGACAGUAAUAAGCCAGACUCCUGUGUAUCCAUUGAUCUAUGGCAGCUGCAGUAUAAUCAAACACCAGCAUUAUGUAUGUACAAGCUACUCUGUGAUUAUAGAUCCAUUAAUAAACUGUUUGCAAGAUAUAA